rnacentral:rRNA from 1 species
AACGAACGCUGGCGGCAUGCCUAACACAUGCAAGUCGAACGAGACCUUCGGGUCUAGUGGCGCACGGGUGCGUAACGCGUGGGAACCUGCCCUUAGGUUCGGAAUAACUCCCCGAAAGGGGUGCUAAUACCGGAUAAUGUCUUCGGACCAAAGAUUUAUCGCCUUUGGAUGGGCCCGCGUUGGAUUAGCCGGUUGGUAGGGUAAAAGCCUACCAAGGCGACGAUCCAUAGCUGGUCUGAGAGGAUGAUCAGCCACACUGGGACUGAGACACGGCCCAGACUCCUACGGGAGGCAGCAGUGGGGAAUAUUGGACAAUGGGCGAAAGCCUGAUCCAGCAAUGCCGCGUGAGUGAUGAAGGCCUUAGGGUUGUAAAGCUCUUUUACCCGGGAUGAUAAUGACAGUACCGGGAGAAUAAGCACCGGCUAACUCCGUG